rnacentral:rRNA from 1 species
AUUGAACGCUGGCGGUAGGCCUAACACAUGCAAGUCGAACGGCAGCACAGUAAGAGCUUGCUCUUACGGGUGGCGAGUGGCGGACGGGUGAGGAAUACAUCGGAAUCUACUUUUUCUUGGGUGAUAACGUAGGGAAACUUACGCUAAUACCGCAUACGACCUACGGGUGAAAGCAGGGGAUCUUCGGACCUUGCGCGAUUGAAUGAGCCGAUGUCGGAUUAGCUAGUUGGCGGGGUAAAGGCCCACCAAGGCGACGAUCCGUAGCUGGUCUGAGAGGAUGAUCAGCCACACUGGAACUGAGACACGGUCCAGACUCCUACGGGAGGCAGCAGUGGGGAAUAUUGGACAAUGGGCGCAAGCCUGAUCCAGCCAUACCGCGUGGGUGAAGAAGGCCUUCGGGUUGUAAAGCCCUUUUGUUGGGAAAGAAAAGCAGCAGGUUAAUACCCCGCUGUUCUGACGGUACCAAAAGAAUAAGCACCGGCUAACUUCGUG